rnacentral:lncRNA from 1 species
UGCUUGAUUUCAAGGAAUGAUUGUAUCUGUUAGUAUUCUAGCAUCUGAACGUAGAAGUUCAGACUUCAUGUUAAAAAUUCAAUUAGCUAUUUGUAAUUUCUUAGUUUAGUUUAAAAUGGAAUAGAGUAUUCCAUAAAGUACUUUGUUAAGUCGACAUAAUAAGGGAUAAGUAUGCCAAAACCAGACUAAAUAAAUGUCUCUUUGAAAUAUUUGAAUUACAA